UUUUUAAAUUGCUGUGGUAUUUUGACUAUACAAAGGUAUUGAAAUAAGAUUUUAAUUGAAUGCUAAGAGAAUGGAAUUUCAGAAAAAAACUUUUUUCAAGUUAAAAAUUGAAAUUUUUUUAAUUUGUGCAGAAACAAUUAUUAAUAUUAGGGACAAGAAGACCCUAUGAAUUUAUAAAUUUUAUUUAAUAUGUAACUACUAUUGAAAAAAUUUUAGCUGGGGCGGCGGAAAAAUAUUUAAAACUUUUUUAAAAUAAAAUGACCCAUUAUUAAUGAUUAUAUGUUAAAUACUCUAGGAA
rnacentral:rRNA from 1 species